rnacentral:rRNA from 1 species
GACGAACCGUGCGAACGUUGUUCGGAAUCACUGGGCUUAAAGGGCGCGUAGGCGGCUCGCGAGGUCGGGGGUGAAAUCCCGCAGCUUAACUGCGAGGACGGCUCCGAUACCGGCGGGCUGGAGGAAGGUAGGGGUGCGCGGAACUUCUGGUGGAGCGGUGAAAUGCGUUGAUAUCAGAAGGAACGCCGGCGGCGAAAGCGGCGCACUGGACCUUUUCUGACGCUGAGGCGCGAAAGCUAGGGGAGCAAACAGGG